GAGCAGUUAGCUUAAAUGUUAAAGCAACGGAUCCUUUGUCCGUAAGAUUGAGGUUCAAUUCCUUGACUGCUCA
rnacentral:tRNA from 1 species